rnacentral:rRNA from 1 species
GACAGAGGGGGCAAGCGUUGCUCGGAAUCACUGGGCGUAAAGGGCGCGUAGGCGGGAUGGCAAGUCAGUCGUGAAAUCUCUCGGCUCAACCGAGAAACGUCGGUUGAUACUGCCGUUCUUGAGGGAUGCAGAGGAGACUGGAAUUCCCGGUGUAGCGGUGAAAUGUGUAGAGAUCGGGAGGAACACCAGUGGCGAAGGCGACUCCCUGGCCUGUUCUUGACGCUGAGGCGCGAAAGCUAGGGGAGCAAACGGG